AUGAGAGGCGAGCCCACACCUGAGUGGGACUCUGGGAACAUCACGGUUUGGGAGCAGCACUUUGACGUCGCCCUUGUAGUUGCAAACUGCUUGGUUCUAUUGAUCACGUCGGUUGUGGGGAUUGCGGCGAACAUUUUUGUCAUUCUGGCUGUGUGCCACCAAAAAUCACUGCAAACGUCUGUUAAUGCGCUGGUGGUGAAUCUAGCUGUGGCGGACUUCCUGCGUUGUGUACUCGACUGCCCCAUCCUGCUGGACAUCAUCACAACUGUGCAUCAAAAAGGACACAUGGACAUUUUGGUUUGUGACACACAAAUGGCCUCUUUCAACUUCAGCAGCUGUGUCCAGUUGUUGACACUAGCGUGCAUAAGUGCAGAGCGGUACCAGGCAAUCGCAAACCCCUUCCAGGCAAGCCAACGCAAAAGACGGAUUAUGGUACUCCUUCCUCUCACUUGGACUUUGGCCUUCCUGGUGGCAGUUUUUUGUCAGAUGUUUUUGAAAGACUCUCCUGUGUAUGCACAAUGCAAAGGACAGAAAGGAGGAACGUCUCCUUCUGGACUUUUUGUGCUGCUCCUGCUGUGGGCAGCUUGCUUCGGUGUCAUCACUGGAUUCUACGCUCGCAUUUUUGCCCUAAUUAGAUCACACAAUCGCAAAAUUUUUGACAAAGGUAUUUUUGUUCCUAAAAAGGGUUCAACAGAACAUAAACCAAGGAGAACAGAAACCGCUGAUGUGGAAAAUGGACACAGUAAAUCUGAGCCGGAGCAGAUCCUGAGCAUUAGCACUGCUCAAACGCAGGCUGCACCAAAUCAAUUCAAGAAAAAAUCCUCGCUGACCUCAGGAGAAGCUCCCCAGUUUGAAUCCAUCAGUUCUGAGAAGACAACAGAAUUAAAAAAUAUAGCAGCAGCGGUGAGUCAUUUAGAAAUGAAUCAACCCCACCCACUUGCAGGACACGUUGUGGAGAAAUCAUUGAAAACGGAGUCGUGCAGCCCGCUUUCCAUAAAAAUGGAAACAAAACCAUUAUCUCAAGAUGCUGCAGCAAACAUUCGGGGCUCGAAUGGAGCGACGCAAAAUGCUUCAAGCAAUUUUAAUGCUGACAAUCAGUCCAGAGAGAGUCUGAAACCAGCAGCCAAUGAUCCCAGCCUUCAUGUUCUAUUGUCUGCACAAAGAGACAAUCCUGAGUCUGCUUCUUUCUUAAUGACUGAUCUGAAACAAGAACAGAGAAGCAACACUGGAGAAAAACAGGCAGCUCUGGUGUCAGAUCAAACAGCGUCAACACCUCCAGACCCAAAUACUGAAGCCAAAACACAAAAUAUAGAGUUAGAAGGCGCCGUCUGCAUCAUGCCUUCAAAAGCAAACAGGGAGCGAGCGAGGAAGAACAAAGAAAGCAGAAUGACCAAGCGUGCUGGCUUCAUUAUUCUAACCUUCCUUUUAUUCUGGCUGCCGCUGAUCACAAGUAUCUUGGUUAAUGUUUUCACUCACAAAAACAAGAAUCCACAGGUAAUGUCAGAAUUUUAA
rnacentral:lncRNA from 1 species